UCCGGUUUGUCACCGGUAGUCUCGCAUGAGUCCCCAACUAAAUGCUGGCAACAUGCGACGGGGGUUGCGCUCGUUGCGGGACUUAACCCAACAUCUCACGACACGAGCUGACGACAGCCAUGCACCACCUGUGAAGAUCCAGCCGAACUGACCCCGUGUUUCCACGGGUACGAUCCACAUGUCAAGCCCAGGUAAGGUUCUUCGCGUUGCGUCGAAUUAAUCCACAUCAUCCACCGCUUGUGCGGGUCCCCGUCAAUUCCUUUGAGUUUUAGCCUUGCGGCCGUACUUCCCAGGCGGGGUGCUUAACGCGUUAGCUACGACGCCUCCGGGGUCAAUACCAGAAACAUCUAGCACCCAUCGUUUACGGUGUGGACUAC
rnacentral:misc_RNA from 1 species